ACCGAAAAGGGACAAGAAGGAAAAGAAAAAGGAGAGCUCUUCGAGCGAGGAGAACAAGAUGGGAAGGAAGUGGCGGAGGGGGUCGAAAGCGAAUAUCCUUCCUGCCGGGGCAACAAACAGGCAGCUGCUCGGAUUUGAGCACGUGCUACUACCACCGUGCGCUGCCACGAUGAGCCUCGUCUUAGAUAGCCGAGGUUGGUAGGUUGCUGGGUAAAGAUAGGUAAGUGUUAUACACCAGCCUAUAUGACUGAAUAUGAUCCAGGUAUCCGGCAGGACUGACAAGUAUUUUCGUGCGUGUUCCGGUGAUCUUUGCACGUGCUGCAUUUUAUUCCUUUUCCUAUUUAAAUUUACCUCGAACCUUCCUGAUCUCUUAUUCAUCCAGCAACAAUUGAGCUACCGUUGAAAAUGGUUCUCCUUUUUAUUCUGAAGUAACGAAUAUCAUUUCAAUUUCAUUUUCAAUAUUCAGAAAUUUCAAUGACUAUCCAAAAUUAUGUAGAACUUGGAACUUUUAUGUAUUAUAAUUAUUGAAAUUUUGGAAUGUUUUUGUAAUAUAAAUACUAUUAAAAUAUUACACAAUAUAGGAAAGAAGCGACUUGAUAACUUGAUAGCACGUGCUAUGACUAUGUUUUGCAUGGAAAAUGACCGACAAAGGUUGAUCGGAAGGUAUUAUGCACCAACUCUCUAAAUAGAAGGUAUACUAUAUACGAGCACCAGAUAUCCCCAGGAAGGGUACGAUCGUGCAUGCAUGCGUAUCUCCCUUCAUGGCAUCAACUGUACGUAAGUUUUCCUUCGGGCUAUUAAUUCUCUCUCAAGGUGGUCUCUGAUUUUGCAAUUUUACACCAGUUGAGUUUUACGGGAUUUUCCUUUAGUUACGUGAGAUAUUAACAGAUAUUUUAUUAGUAAUCUAUUUAUUAAUCCAGGCAAUGAAACGUUGAAAAAUUCUAACCUCAAAUUUUAUCGAUUAAAAUUUAUGAUAUUAAUUUCGAUUUUUUUUUCGUAAAAAGGACUAAGAAAGAUCGAAUUACUGAUUUUUAACCGAUUAUACGUCUAAUAGAAAAUUAAAUUGAUUUUCUGUUGACUGGAUAAUUAAAUUUUCAGCGAAUCGAAUAUCUUCUUAUCUGAUCGUAUAUCCGUAUAGACCUGGCGUUAUUAAUUUAGUAGAAAUCUGCAGGUGUUUCUACAGAAAUUUCGUUAAUCGAUCCUGCAUCCACGUCGACCAAUGCACAAAUGAUUAAACCCGCAUUCAAAGAUCCUUCGAAAGAAUUUUAUCCUUUUAUUAUAAUUAUACAUUUAUUAUAAUUGCAGAUGAAAUGGAAAUCAGGUGAAAAAUAUAUUUUUCUCUUAUUUUUCAAUUUCGAUAUUAAUUAUGAAAUUCACGAUAUUAAUUAUAAAAUCUGAUAUUUUAUUAUCAUGUUGAAAGAUUGAUUGAUUUUAUUUUUUUUAAAAAAAAAAAAGAUUUCUCAACAAAGGAAAUCAAAUAAUUUUAUCCACAGGAAUGUUUUAUGAGAAUGGUUAACAGUGAAUUGUCCUAUACUACACUUAUCUAUAUUCAAAAACGCAUAUUACAAUAUUACAAAUGAUAUUUAUUGGCAUGAUCCUCCAUGGUACCUGAUAAUCAUGCGACACCUGUUACGACACAACACUUACUUAAUUGGAGGCUACGAACAGCUGCCCACACGACGAACCAAUCACGGCUGUUCGCCUGAAAUUCUUCUUUACUCGCGACAUCCCUGACGAGCACCUGUUCCAAUUCGGAAUAUACCGAACAAGGAUCCUUGACCAGAAUUUCGCACGAAAGGAAAGUCCGCAUUGAUUGUCGGAUUCCGAUUUAUCCGAUCGACAGCCCGUGAUUUCGUUUUGGCGAUGAUGCAACUAGCCAAUUAAUUAAAACAUACGGCUAUGAAAUUGGAAUAUCAAUCAAAUCCGAAUUUAAAUUAGAAAUAUUUAAUAUUUCGCAAUAUGUUUUCUUUUUUCAAAUUAAAAUUAAAUAAAUUUUAGAGUAAUUAGCGAGAAUGGAAAACAUUUUUCUCUAAUUAUUCUGAACGUAUUUCAAUUUUUAUGUUGUAUAUAUUUUCUUAUCAUUUUAGGGCAGAGGUGUGAUUUUUUUACAAACAAGCGAUUGCAUUUAUUACUUAACUGCCAUAGCGAAGCUGGAAAUUUAUCCAUCCGCAUAAAAAUAUAUCAUGCUCAAAUAUUCGAGGAGGCUGCAGUUAGUUUCUUAAGUCCUUUGCUACUUUACAACGACACUGCGUAACGAUGCUGGAUGAACGGCACAGCUGUCAACCCGUGUCCACAAGAGGACCAUGCUUGAAUUUCUAUAUCGUCCACGAUAUCAUACUCAAAUAUGUAUUCGGUAUAUAUACCACUAUGGCGAAAUUCCUUGAUGUUACCUCACCAUGUUUAAUGACACGUAAGAGGUCUGCGUAUUACACCUGUCAGGCCACCUUUGCCAAAAAUUACUCAAAUUCUGUCUCUUACGAUGGGACAUGGAGGAUCAACCAGCUGGUGUUAUAGCUUUUCACGAUUUCGCAACGAAUGUUUGAUCAACGGAAUUCAAGGAAAUUCUUCUGCUGGAAAUUAAUUAUCAAACUUGAGAAUCUCUUGAGAAUUAAAAGUGAAGUAAAUAUUAAUAAGUAUUAAAUGUAAUUUAUAAUUUAUUUGAUUACAGAUUACAAUGGAGAUAAAAGUUAAAAACUACAAAAACAAAACUACAAAAACUUCUUCAAUAAAGAUGAAAUCAAUAUAUAAUAGCAGAAAAGAAUAUUUGAAUUUUUCUCACUGUAACAGAGAAUAAAUAAAAUGAUAAAAAAGACAGAAGUUGACAACAGAUCAGGUUCUUGCCUUUACGGAUGCUGAGUUAAGAUGCUUCCUUACACAAACUGUUAUAGCUUUGAUUAUUUGUUUUAAAGACAAGCAAACAAUUAAUCUUGAUUGAUUCCUUUGCUUUAUCUUACUUUCUUUUUUUUUUGCAAUUUAUAGUCAACAAAAAUUGUACCAAUUACAUAAUUUUACUAACAAUAUACAAUAAUAUAUAUAUCCAUAUUUUGACAUGUGAUUAAUUUUUGCAGAUUUUCUAUUGUUCAUCUUCAUCAUCCAAAAAUCGAUGGACGCAACAGCUGCCUUAAGGAUCUUAAGGACUGCUUAAGAAAAAAAAAAGGAACGCGUUGCAUUCUUGAAAUGCCCAGCAACGUGGUAACGUUAAACCGAGUACAUACAUGCACGAUGGAGGAGGCUGGCACGCGAGAGGUUAUCCGGUAAAAUACCAGAAAAGAAUUCGUCCGAAGUGGGCCAGCGGGCUCAGUUUCCAGUCCGUGAGGAGGCAGCAACAGAUGGCACCGACCUUGCGGAUGCUGCGUUAGAACGCUUCGUUUUUCUUUGUACGGGGCACGUGCCACGUUUCCUUGCCGCCACCGAUCCGCGACCAAUGUUCCGCAAGCCAUAUUGAACCGGGCCAGGUUAAGCCAGAUCACGUCUCGGCUUCCCUCCUUCUGCCGUGAAAAGAUUUUUCUUUUCUGGUCGAUUGAAAAAAAAAAAAAAAGAAGAAGGGAAGGAAGAAAGAGAGAGGAGCUGCACUCUGACAUCUGUGCCCUGAUAUACGAUAGAACCGCGUCUAUUCCUUCGUCUAUUCCCCGGAUGGAAAUCCUUACCUGGUUCACGAGGCUAGAACAUUCGAGUCGCGCAUUUGUUUCACCGUCUGUUCGAAAGCAAUUAUCCUGCGUUCUUUUUCUUUUUUUUUUCACGGAGACCUUAUGGCAUAGACGAUUCCAGUUUGAAUAUGGGAAGAUGUAAAUUGGAGAGAUAAAUUUAAGAUUUUUUUUAACGAUAAAUAUUCUCUGGUAUCGAUACAUAAUCAUUGGUUAAAAUCACAUCGAAGCUAUUUACUUAGAAUCAUCUUGCACAAUCGUGUUUAAAAAAAAAAAAAAAGAGCGUUUCAAUUGUAUUUCAAAAAUAAUAAUCACGUCGUUUAAGAUCUCCAGUUUCCCCGCGAAUAGAUAUCGUUUUUCUUCAUUGAUAACGCGAUUCAUUGAGUGAAAAAACCGUAUGGCAGGAAACGCGAGACAUCGAACGACGCCGUGUAAAUUCGAGCGAGCGACCGCGACUGUAAAAUUAGACGGGAGAAUAAUACGGGAUCGAUCGAUCUUAAUUCGAGGGACUCGUGCCCAACUACAAUAACCAGCCGAUGAUAACGAUGCCUUGGUGUCGGAUUUGUACGAGUUUUCGAUUACCCCGAUCGAUAUCUCCUCUUGCGGUUUUCUUGAACCGCCAUUUGAAAUCGUACGAGCGACCACCUUGUGCGCUCCAAGAUGCGUAACUUAGACGUGCAGCGUUCUUUCGUUUUAAUUUGCUAUACCGAUAAAAUCAUCUUUCGAAUCGAAGAUUUUUUUUUUUUUUUUAAUCAAUCUUCGACCAGCUGUUUCAUUUUUUUCAUUCUUAAUAAUAACGUCCCAUCAAGAGAUACACUAUAUUAACAUUUUAUAAUUUUGCUCUUUCAGAUGUUCAAAAUCCUUCCUUUCUACGAUGAUCUUCAAUUUUUCUUCAAACAUCCUUGAUACGAAGCUAGAGACAAAUCUCUAUUCUUUCAUUUCUAUCCACGGAUAUGUACACGUAUUGAAAUUUAUCUUCCCCUCAUCCUAACUCUGUAAGUGCAGUUUUUCAACAAAACAACCAAAGGGACGCGUGCCGUCUUUUUUAUCAGAGUGCAUUUUGCGCUAUCUGUUGCUAUCUGUGGACUCUGAGAGGGGAAAAAAAAAGGAAGGAAUCGGUGAUAUCUUGCUCGAAGACAGAUAUACUGUAUCAGUGCAACCGCGUAUUCUCUCACUCUGAACUGUGAGUAUUAGGCCGUAUGAGUAAAGGAAAGAAGGUGAAGGAGGGUGAGGUCGAAGGGGAAACGAAGAAGGGGCAGAUGGUAGCGUCUUCUUCGCAGCCAAGUGGCAGCGGGCACGCGCCAAUCGAGUCCGAAAGAACAUCUGCCGCUAUGUUCCCAGGAGUACAAGAGAACCACCGACUCGCAGGCAACAGGCCAUCUCCUAACAACCAGUCAAUCUGGAGAAAGAGGAGGAACAGUCGGUGGAACAGUUGCCACGUUGAUUUUUCACUUGGAAAAAGGUGGUUGGCAGACGGUGGCAGAAAGGUGGUCUAGGAGGUUUGGCCUGAUCAAUUUUCUUAACGAUGGCACGUGGUACUGUGCUACCACCAGUUUCCUAGUGGGACUUUGCAGAUGAAUUUUUAAUGGAGUAUUACAUCUCAAUAAGAAUUGCAAAAGAAGUGGAACAAGUCUACUUUAUAAUUCUUGCUUUAAUUCUACUAAUGGCAGAUGCAAGUACUUCAAACAUACAAGGAACGUUCAAUGGCAAAUAUCCUUUAUGGAGCGAGAUUCUUCUUUAAGGUUGACACCGGUUUUCCUUCCACCGAUUCUCCUUUUCUUCUCAUUUUCCUCCUUCCAAUGCAGAUGCAGUUUUUCCAUUAUACCUCCAAGUCCUCGUGCCACCAGUCACCCCUCCCUCCCUUCCCAACCCCCACGGCGACUUUCGAUCUUUACAGAUCGCGCACGUGCUCGAUACCACCUCCCAGGUUUUCUCUUCCUCCUCGAUCAUCCUUUGUAUCUUGCGAGGAGGAAAUCCGUCGCGAUCUUAAGCUCGUCAUGCACGACGUGGCUCCAUUGUGAAGCGGUACAAUGAUCUCUGGGGAGGGGGACUCCCGUAGCCCAUCUCGGAUUCGAAAGUCCUCGAGUGGGAGUUGGAGCGUAAAGACAUUUUCUUUUUUUUUUUUUUUUCUUUUUUUUUUUAAUAUAUGAAAGACAACUUUAUGUUCUCAACACGUGCUUAUUUUCUUUUCUCUGGAAAAAAAAUUUCAAUCGUAAAGAUAAAAAAAAAAGAUAUUGAGAAAUAUUAUUACAUUAAUGAGAAAUUAUUCAUAAAAUUAUUAUGAUAAUGACAUCGUUACAUAUUUAUAAUAUUUUCGUAUAUGUACGUAUAAUCUUGUUGGCAUAUUUUUAAUAAUGUAUGACUGUAUUGAAAUUUAGUCUUUUUAAGAAAAUUAAUGGACGAUAAAAAUGACGAUAA